GUUCUCACUUCGGCAGCACAUAUACUAAAAUUGGAAUGAUACAGAGAUUAGCCUGGCCCCUGCACAAGGAUCAGCUGCUUCUGUCCAUUGAUUGGGUGCAAAUAUCU